UUAACGGCGGGUAUACACCAUGGUCCUCCUGGUCUCGAUGCAGCAGGACCUGCGGCGGAGGAACACAACAACGUUCCCGCUAUUGCACUAAUCCAAGACCCAGACAAGGAGGAAUAGAUUGUAGAGAACUGGGAAAAGCUAAAGAAUAUAGAGAUUGCAGGAAACAGUCAUGUCCAGUUUGUAGAGACGUAUGGCCAUCGUUUUGUAGAACGAAUGCUUGGAUUUGCAGCAAAGAGAGCUGGAAAGCAUAUGUGAAUCAGAAUUGUCGCUACAGUUGUGGACUAUGCCAAGGACAAGGAGAAAACCGCGUAACACCAGUUGAACGUAGCAGCGACAUCGUUUGUAGAGACGUAUGGCCAUCGUUUUGUAGAACGAAUGCUUGGAUUUGCAGCAAAGAGAGCUGGAAAACAUAUGUGAAUCAGAAUUGUCGCUACAGUUGUGGACUCUGUCAAGGUUAGCUAGGAAUGACUGAAAGGAAUGAAUCGACAUUCCCUUUCCCCUCUGUGUCAUUGUGUAUGAAUAGAUAUUUUAAAGAGGUUAUUAACCGAACGCGAGGUCUGUACGGGAAAAUAUCAGACCGAGGUCUUGACAGUACGGAUCGAGCGCAGCGAGAUCGAGCAAGCCAGGUUAAUAACUCAUUUAUUAUAUGACUUUUACUUCGUAGAUUAUGUAGAAGAAUUACUCAAAGUACAACACUAUGUAAUAGCACUGCUUUUCUCACGAUAUCUAACGAUAUGAGUAAAAUGACACAGAAAUCAUCAUAUUUUCAGUAAUUGUCGGCUAAAACGACAGGGAUUUUGGCUCCUUGUUUGAUAGAUUCAGUUUAUUUUCAUACUCAAAUACAUUAUUAGCUUCCUCACAAAUUUCCACUGUCUGAUUCUUCUAUCGUCGCGGCCGCCGGUGUAGAUUUGUGGAUGUCCCUCAAAAUAGAAUUACAAUUUGCUUUCUUUUACCAGUAACCGAGGAUUCAUUGAAUCGAGGAAAGUAGACUUUAUAAGAGGAAGAUUUCAUUCUUGCCAAGACACGGGUUUGAAUCCCUUUUCACUUUUGUUUUGAGUAGUUUAUGGACUUAUGUUCUAGCUUCUUUUGAGCUUUUACAACUUCAUUGAGUUUUUCUUCCAAUAUGAUCCUUUUUGGGCUAUCUUUAAAUUGUGGUGAAUACUUAUCGAGCAUUUCUAAGCUGGAUUGAUGCCGUUGGSAAUUGAAAACAACUGUACGGUCAACUCGGGAAAGAGCGGGAAAGUCAAGUGCUAAGACGGAGCGCGGACAAAAAGGCAGGAGUAGUUGAAAUUGAACUACCUAUCUUUCAGAUCAUUAGAAUUGGAUUUUGUUUGAAUUUUUUUUAUUGCAAAGAAAGUCUCAAAUCUGAUAAACAAAGUUGUCUUGAUUCCCUCGGUCCAACUUACCGCACAACCAUCAAAUUAGCAAUUUCCGGUCCGGAUACGGAAAAAGACGGACCCGCGGUCUGGAUACGCGAUUUCACGGAACAGUUUUCAGCCAAUCAGAGCGCGCGUAAUAUCUAAAGUCAUA